AUUGAACGCUGGCGGCAGGCCUAACACAUGCAAGUCGAACGAGUGGCGGACGGGUGAGUAAUGUCUGGGAAUCUGCCUGAUGGAGGGGGAUAACUACUGGAAACGGUAGCUAAUACCGCAUACCAUCGGAUGUGCCCAAAUGGGAUUAGGUAGUGGGUGGGGUAAAGGCUCACCUAGGCGACGAUCCCUAGCUGGUCUGAGAGGAUGACCAGCCACACUGGAACUGAGACACGGUCCAGACUCCUACGGGAGGCAGCAGUGGGGAAUAUUGCGCAAUGGGCGCAAGCCUGAUGCAGCCAUGCCGCGUGAAUGAAGAAGGCCUUCGGGUUGUAAAGUUCUUUCGGCAGGGAGGCGUUACCUGCAGAAGAAGCACCGGCUAACUCCGUGCCAGCAGCCGCGGUAAUUC
rnacentral:rRNA from 1 species